GUCAUGUGCUAAAUCAAAAGAACUAUAGUAAAAUUCUAAAUUUGCAGAAAGAAGCAUAGAAUUCUACAAUGUUAGUAUAAAACUCUCAUUUUGGAGAGGAAACGUAACAAGCCGGGAAAGUGCCUCACCCAAGUCUACCUAACCAUUCCAUUUAUUUAACAAAUAAAUAUCUAGUACUUCUUACGUGCAGGCAGGCACUGUUCUAAGUGUCUUAUGGACUCAAUACAUUAGAUCCUCCUAACAACCUUGUGGGGUAGACUAGCAGCAACUUGUAUAGUUUUGCAUAUUAUAUUAUUAUUCUCAUUUUACAAAUGAGAGAACACCUGGACAACUUGUUCAAGAUCAUAUAGCUAGACACUCAGACCCGUGGUUGCGGUUCAGGAACUCCAGCAGAUGUGCAUCCCAGAUGGUGUGCCUUCCUUGCAUCGUCAUUCCGAUUCUGCUCUGGAUCUACAAAAAAUUCCUGGAGCCAUGCAUGUAUCCUCUGAUUUCCCCCUUUGUUAGUCGUAUGUGGCCUAGAAAAGCUCUUCGAGAAUCCCACAACAAAAACAAAGGCAAGGUAGACUGUAAGGACGCAGACAUAAAUGGAUUACCAACAAAAGGACCAACAGAAAUCUCUGAUAAAAAGAAAGACUAAAGUGAUUGUCCCAAAGGAUCUCAUUGUUUUAAAAAUGGACCUGAUAAUAUGAAGCACCUUGCUUGUAAUUGUCUCUGACCUUUUUCUCUGAGACCAGAAUAGGGGAUAGAUAGCUUAGUUACCUGAUACUAAUCAGGAAAUACAUGGUAUUUCUAUUUAAAAUGUGUCUAGUUAUAUUUAAUGAUCUCAUUCCUGAGUUCCUGUUUCAUUAAAGUCGCUUCCAUUUCUAUUAUCGUAGUUAUGAAUAAAUAGAAGGUUUGUGCCAGUAGACACUGCUACUAAACCAGUACUCAAAAAUCCUCGGGCCUCUAGCUUUCGUUCAGGCUCUUUGAAUUUGAGCAGAGUACAAUGUUACCGUGAAGCAGUGCGGUGAGACUGUGCGGUGAAAGGAAAAGGGGUUUGGGGAGAUGAUGAGGACUUGAAACCUAAAGAUGUAAUUACUGUCCAAUACAAUGGAGCAGCCUACUUCUGAGAGUCGUAAUUCCUGCUUAUUGCUCUGAGGAAAAUAGAAAAGACAGGGAAGUCGGGGAAACGCCUUUGAAAAAUGGAAUACCUUUGACAGAAAUAUCUAAUGUAUAUUAUAAAAUCCUAAUCCUUGUU